rnacentral:rRNA from 1 species
UUCGGGGGACAGGGUGACAGGUGGUGCAUGGUUGUCGUCAGCUCGUGUCGUGAGAUGUUGGGUUAAGUCCCGCAACGAGCGCAACCCUCGACCUUAGUUGCCAGCAUUCAGUUGGGCACUCUAAGGUGACUGCCGGCUAAAAGUCGGAGGAAGGUGGGGAUGACGUCAAAUCAUCAUGCCCCUUAUGACCUGGGCUACACACGUGCUACAAUGGGCGGUACAAAGGGUCGCGAACCCGCGAGGGGGAGCCAAUCCCAAAAAGCCGCUCCCAGUUCGGAUUGCAGGCUGCAACUCGCCUGCAUGAAGCCGGAAUCGCUAGUAAUCGCGGAUCAGCAUGCCGCGGUGAAUACGUUCCCGGGCCUU